CCUACGGGAGGCAGCAGUGAGGGAUAUUGGUCAAUGGGGGCAACCCUGAACCAGCGACGCCGCGUGGGUGAUGAAGGUCUUCGGAUCGUAAAACCCUUUUCUAGGUGACGAGACAAGGACGGUAGCCUAGGAAGAAGUCUCGGCUAACUACGUGCCAGCAGCCGCGGUAAAACGUAGGAGGCAAGCGUUAUCCGGAGUUACUGGGCGUAAAGCGUAUGUAGGCGGUUCGGUAAGUGGCGUGUGAAAGCUCCCGGCUAAACUGGGAGAGGACAGGUCAGACUGCUGAACUGGAGUCCGAUAGAGGAGCGUAGAAUUCCGGGUGUAGCGGUGAAAUGUGUAGAGAUCCGGAGGAAUACCAGUGGCGCAAGCGGCGCUCUGGGUCGGGACUGACGCUGAGAUACGAAAGCGUGGGGAGCGAACGGGAUUAGAUACCCCAGUAG
rnacentral:rRNA from 1 species